rnacentral:rRNA from 1 species
GGGUGCGUAACGCGUAUGCAACCUGCCUUAUGCAGGGGGAUAGCCCAUGGAAACGUGGAUUAAUACCCCAUAGAUCAGCAGUCCUGCAUGGGACAACUGGUAAAGGUAUUCCGGCAUAAGAUGGGCAUGCGUCUGAUUAGCUAGAUGGUAGGGUAACGGCCUACCAUGGCGACGAUCAGUAGGGGUUCUGAGAGGAUUACCCCCCACACUGGUACUGAGACACGGACCAGACUCCUACGGGAGGCAGCAGUGAGGAAUAUUGGUCAAUGGGCGGAAGCCUGAACCAGCCAUCCCGCGUGAAGGAUGAAGGCCUUAUGGGUUGUAAACUUCUUUUCUGAUGGAAGAAAUUCCCCGACGCGUCGGGGUUUGCCGGUACAUCAGGAAUAAGCAUCGGCUAACUCCGUGCCAGCAGCCGCGGUAAUACGGAGGAUGCAAGCGUUAUCCGGAUUUAUUGGGUUUAAAGGGUGCGCAGGUGGCUUAGUAAGUCAGUGGUGAAAGUCUGCCGCUUAACGGUAGGACUGCCAUUGAUACUGCUAGGCUUGAGUUUGGAUGAGGUAGGCGGAAUGUGUAGUGUAGCGGUGAAAUGCAUAGAUAUUACACAGAACACCGAGUUGCGGAUGAGGUAGGCGGAAUGUGUAGUGUAGCGGUGAAAUGCAUAGAUAUUACACAGAACACCGAUUGCGAAGGCAGCUUACUAAUCCGCAACUGACACUGAGGCACGAAAGCGUGGGGAUCAAACAGGAUUAGAUACCCUGGUAGUCCACGCUGUAAACGAUGAUCACUCGCUGUUUGCGAUACACAGUAAGCGGCUAAGCGAAAGCGUUAAGUGAUCCACCUGGGGAGUACGAUCGCAAGGUUGAAACUCAAAGGAAUUGACGGGGGCCCGCACAAGCGGAGGAACAUGUGGUUUAAUUCGAUGAUACGCGAGGAACCUUACCUGGGCUUAAAUGGGGAGUGACAGCUGCUGAAAGGUGGUUUUCUUCGGACACUCUUCAAGGUGCUGCAUGGUUGUCGUCAGCUCGUGCCGUGAGGUGUCGGGUUAAGUCCCAUAACGAGCGCAACCCUUACUGUUAGUUGCCAGCGGGUAGAGCCGGGAACUCUAACGGGACUGCCACCGUAAGGUGAGAGGAAGGUGGGGAUGACGUCAAAUCAGCACGGCCCUUAUGUCCAGGGCUACACACGUGUUACAAUGGCCGGUACAAAGGGCAGCUACCCCGCGAGGGGAUGCUAAUCUCGAAAGCCGGUCUCAGUUCGGAUCGAAGUCUGCAACCCGACUUCGUGAAGUUGGAUUCGCUAGUAAUCGCGCAUCAGCCAUGGCGCGGUGAAUACGUUCCCGGGCCUUGUACACACCGCCCGUCAAGACAUGGGAGCCGGGGGUACCUGAAGUCUGCAACCGCGAGGAGCGGCCUAGGGUAAAACUGGUGACUGGGGCU